GCCAGAAUGGCUCAGUGGGAUUUUUGCUGACUACCAAUCACAAGACCGGGGUUCGGGUCCCCGCUUUGGUA